rnacentral:tRNA from 1 species
UUGUGAGUAGUUUAACAAAAGAACGGUGGUUUUGGGUAUCAUAAGUGCAUGGUGCAUGCCUCUCAGA